GUGAGGAAUAUUGGUCAAUGGACGAGAGUCUGAACCAGCCAAGUCGCGUGAAGGAAGACGGUUCUAUGAAUUGUAAACUUCUUUUGUGCAGGAAUAAAGUGGGUUACGUGUAACCUUUUGUAUGUACUGUACGAAUAAGGAUCGGCUAACUCCGUGCCAGCAGCCGCGGUAAUACGGAGGAUCCGAGCGUUAUCCGGAUUUAUUGGGGUUAAAGGGGGCGUAGGUGGAUUGAUAAGUCAGCGGUGAAAGAUUGCAGCUUCACGGUAAAAUUGCCGUUGAAACUGUCGGUCUUGAGUGCAAAUGAGGUAGGCGGAAUGUGUUGUGUAGCGGUGAAAUGCUUAGAUAUAACACAGAACUCCGAUUGCGAAGGCAGCUUACUGGGAUGCAACUGACACUGAUGCACGAAAGCGUGGGUAUCAAACAGGAUUAGAUACCCUGGUAGUCC
rnacentral:rRNA from 1 species